rnacentral:rRNA from 1 species
GGCAGGCCUAACACAUGCAAGUCGAGCGGAAACGAGUUAACUGAACCUUCGGGGAACGUUAACGGCGUCGAGCGGCGGACGGGUGAGUAAUGCCUGGGAAAUUGCCCUGAUGUGGGGGAUAACCAUUGGAAACGAUGGCUAAUACCGCAUAAUAGCUUCGGCUCAAAGAGGGGGACCUUCGGGCCUCUCGCGUCAGGAUAUGCCCAGGUGGGAUUAGCUAGUUGGUGAGGUAAGGGCUCACCAAGGCGACGAUCCCUAGCUGGUCUGAGAGGAUGAUCAGCCACACUGGAACUGAGACACGGUCCAGACUCCUACGGGAGGCAGCAGUGGGGAAUAUUGCACAAUGGGCGCAAGCCUGAUGCAGCCAUGCCGCGUGUAUGAAGAAGGCCUUCGGGUUGUAAAGUACUUUCAGCAGUGAGGAAGGUGAUGUAGUUAAUAACUGCAUCAUUUGACGUUAGCUGCAGAAGAAGCACCGGCUAACUCCGUGCCAGCAGCCGCGGUAAUACGGAGGGUGCGAGCGUUAAUCGGAAUUACUGGGCGUAAAGCGCAUGCAGGUGGAU